AUGGUAACACCGUAUUUGACCAU
rnacentral:siRNA from 1 species